GGGCUUAACACAUGCAAGUCGAGCGGUAACAGAAAGUAGCUUGCUACUUUGCUGACGAGCGGCGGACGGGUGAGUAAUGCUUGGGAACAUGCCUUGAGGUGGGGGACAACAGUUGGAAACGACUGCUAAUACCGCAUAAUGUCUACGGACCAAAGGGGGCUUCGGCUCUCGCCUUUAGAUUGGCCCAAGUGGGAUUAGCUAGUUGGUGAGGUAAUGGCUCACCAAGGCAACGAUCCCUAGCUGGUUUGAGAGGAUGAUCAGCCACACUGGAACUGAGACACGGUCCAGACUCCUACGGGAGGCAGCAGUGGGGAAUAUUGCACAAUGGGCGAAAGCCUGAUGCAGCCAUGCCGCGUGUGUGAAGAAGGCCUUCGGGUUGUAAAGCACUUUCAGUCAGGAGGAAAGGGUGUGAGUUAAUACCUCACAUCUGUGACGUUACUGACAGAAGAAGCACCGGCUAACUCCGUGCCAGCAGCCGCGGUAAUACGGAGGGUGCGAGCGUUAAUCGGAAUUACUGGGCGUAAAGCGUACGCAGGCGGUUUGUUAAGCGAGAUGUGAAAGCCCCGGGCUCAACCUGGGAACU
rnacentral:rRNA from 1 species